rnacentral:rRNA from 1 species
GACAGAGGGUGCAAACGUUGUUCGGAAUUACUGGGCGUAAAGCGAGUGUAGGCGGUUUGGUAAGUCGGAUGUGAAAGCCCCGGGCUCAACCUGGGAAUGGCAUUGGAAACUGGCUUGCUGGAGUGUGGCAGAGGGGGGUGGAAUUCCGCGUGUAGCAGUGAAAUGCGUAGAGAUGCGGAGGAACACCGAUGGCGAAGGCAGCCCCCUGGGCCAACACUGACGCUCAGGCACGAAAGCGUGGGGAGCAAACAGG